rnacentral:lncRNA from 1 species
GUAUAAGUGAGGCAAGUGCUGAUUCCGAGGAACUUAAAAAAUACACAAUAGCAUCUCCUCUGUUUUUGUUGAAUAAUACAAGGUACAUGUAUCAAGAUAUCCCAGCCUAACGGGUUGAGGGAAAAAUGGUGAUUUCGAGACCACCUCAACUCUGGGGGGAAUAUGUCAGCGGUUCAUAUAUAUUUACACAGUAGAAACACGAGCGAUGGUACAACUUUCCAAAGAAUAAUACACACUACCUACAUUCUUUCUUUCCUUUAAGAAAAAUAAGAACAAUGCCUAUCUACUCACCCCUAGAAGAAAUAGCUGGCCAACAGCAAACGAAGAGGGUUUUACACUUCGCUAGAGGACUAGUUGGAUGGCUGUGACAAUGCGAGAUCACAAAUCACAGUGAUUAUGCUAAUGGCUUCUCCUCGCAAUAGUCUUACAAAGUGUUGGGAGCCAUCCUGUAGCUUGAAUAUACAUGAUAUGGUAUCAGUACCAAAAAGCCUCUCCCUCAUCAACCCAUUGCAGGAAAUUGUGAGAUAACCCCUGAGCGUGUAUCUCUGCCAGGU